UGAGUUCUCAUGGUCUUGGGCAGCUCUGUCCCUGUGGCUUUACAGAGUACAGCCCCACUCCUGGGCUGUCCUUGAGUGUCUGCGACUUUUCCAGGCACAUGGUGCAAGCUGUGGUGAAUCUACAUUCUGGGGUUGGGAGGACGGUGGCCCUCCUCUUCUCAAAGCUCCACUAGGUAGUGACCCAGUGAAGGCUGUGUGUGUGGGGGCUCCCACCCACAUUUCCUUUCUGCCUUGCUCUAGCAUAGGUUCUCCAUGAGGGACACAUGCCUGCAGCACACAUCUGCCUGGACAUCUGGGCAUUUUCAUAUAUCCUCUGAAAUCUAGGCAGAGGUUGCCAAACCUCAUUUCUUGACUUCUGGGUACCUGCAGGCUCAAUGCCACAUGGAAGCCACCAAGGCUUGGGGCUUGCACCCUCUGAAGCAACAGCCCAAGCUGUACAUUGACUCAGACACAGAGCACCAAGUCUGGAGACUGCACACAGCAGGGGGUCCCUGGACCCAGCCCAGGAAACCAUUUUUCCUUCCUAGGUCUUCAUGCCUAUGAUGGGAAGGGUGCCUUGAAUGUCUCUGACAUGCCCUGGAGUCAUUUUCCCCAUGUCUUGGUUUAUAUGCAUGUGUGAUAUCACCCUCAUUAGACUGCGAGUUCCACAAUGUCAGGGACCAUCCCAUUCCUGAUCUGCAGUAUGUGGCAGGGGACUAUACAUCUAGCUCAUGAUCCAAAAAAUGAUUAUUAAACUUUUAAAGCUUUUACUUUGUCAAUACACAAGAACAAAAUACAAACUAUGAUGUACCUAAUUUUAAUUUAAGAAGGCCUAAGUCAAAAUAGAGAUCUGAUGAGAAAUAGAGAAAUUCAGAUUUUUUAAAAUAUGAGAACAAUUUUGCUCAGAGAUUGAACAAACCAUAGCAAUUGCUAAAUGAAAUUGGAAGUGCAAUAAAAGGGGCUCUGAAGAGAAGGAAGGUCAUAUUUAAGAACUAAAAAUAAAGAACAAUAUGUAUAAUAUUCACUACACCUCUAUAGUUUCUGCUGUAGCAUUUUACAUUAUUCAAAUCCUUUUAUCAUUGCCUAUGACAAUAUUUGCUUUCCUUAUGAAUUCAUUUUCAGUACAAUGUUGUACUGCAGUUGAUUUUGAAAGAUAUUCUAAUUUAAGAUUAUCAGAAUUAGACAGGGUACUACAUUGACUGAAUAACCUGAAGUUUUAUGCAUCUGAAUUUCAAAAUGCCUCAAACAUAACUAAAAUUGCUGCAAGCCCAAGAGAAAUGUAAAGUAGUACAUACUAGUAACAGUUUACUAUCUGUAGUUUGCAUGCAAUUAUUUUACACUUUCAGAAAAUAAUAUCAAUGUGCUCAUGUAAAAUACAAAUAAUACAAAAGGCUGUUUGAGACUCCAUUCAGUUAACUAGUUAUUGAGUACAUAGUGUAUAUAAGAUCUAGUAUUAUAAUGUAUGAAUUACAUACAAGGAAAAAGAAGGAUAGAAAGAAGAAAACAAAGUUAACUAAAUGUUUUUAGUGUUCUACCUAUGUGAGAACCAACCUUAGAAGAGUAAUAAUAGCUAGUACUUCUUGAGUGUUUAUUAUUUCUAGAUAUUCUGAAUUACAUCAUUCAGAUAUUCUGGAUUACAUCAUUUAAAGUUUUAAAACAAACCUAUGAAUUUAACAUUAUUAUUUUUCCCAUUUUUCAGAUGAGAAAAUUGCAGCACAGAAUUUAAGUAAUUCACUAAAUGUUGUAGAGCUAAGAAUUUCAAAGGUGAAACUUGAAUUUAAGCAGGCAAGCACUGUGUACUUAACCCCUACCUUACAUACUUCCUGGUUGGUUUUAUUAUUCCAUUUCACAGAGCAAGAACUUGAGGCUCAGAGAGAUUAAAUAGGCUACCAAAGUAGACAUCUUUAAUCAAUGACAGAGUCAGCAUUCAAAAUCAAAUAUGUUUGAUUCCAAAUGCUUUGCUGAUUCCUCUACACAGCUUCCAAAACUACAUGAAAUAAAAUAUUAAUAAAAUAUAUUCAAACUAUAUUCUAUCUCUUCUAUGAUUUAAAUACAAACUACAUUCAUUUCUCGCUGUGUGACAUUAGGCAAGCCACUUUAUCAACUUUUGCUUUAGUUCUCUCAUCUGUAUAAUGAGGAUAAUAAUUCAUCGUACCUCAAAAUAAUUGUUUGGCGCAUUGAAUAGAAUAUGUAAAGCUACUAAACAGUGCCUAACAUAAACUUCUUAUUAAUAUUAUCAGUAUCAUUAUUAUUACAAUUUGUAAAUUAUUGUACUUAGGGAGAUAGAGUGUAUAUAUGUCUGUGUGUGUAUAUACUAUUAAUACUAAUGUUAUAAUUAGUAUAAUACUGUAUUUAAAUAUAUAUAAAAAUGAAAAUAUCUGUAAAUAUCUACUAAUAUAUAAUAUUCAUUGUAGUGUAUUAUAUAUAUAAACACAUAUAUAUUAGUGGUAUAUGUAUACACUACUAUAUAAUACUAUUCAAUCUAUUAGUAGUAUAUAUGUAUGUGUGUAUAUAUGCAGCACAUAUAUAUGUAUACACACAUACAUAUAUAUGCAGCACUUAUAUAUACUUGCAUACAUAUACAAAUAUAUACAUAGUAUAUGUAUGUAUGUCUGUGUGUGUGUGUGUGUAUAUACACACACACACACCCUCCUAAUAGGUUGAAUUCUGAACUAAGCACUUUUUCAACUUUAUUUCACCUCAACAAUUCCAUUAAGUUGUAGUAAAACUCAUCUUUAAAACUGCACAGAUAAUGAGAAAACUCAUCAUUUGACAGAUGAUGAAAAUGAAGCUUUGAAAAGUUAAGGAAGUUGCCUAAGAUCAUACAGCCAGUGAGUGGCAAGACCAGAUAUCAAACCUGGGUUUAUAUGACUCCAAGGCCCACAAAGUAGUAUGUAAUUAGUGUCAAAAGGAAGGUGUAAUCAGCUGGUUGAAGUGCAAGGGUGUUUACAACUAAUUUACCACAACCAGUUACAGAUUCUUUGUUCCUUCCCCACUCCCAAUGCUCCACUUGACUAGCAAAAAAAAAAAAAAAAAAGAAAAAGAAAGAAAAGAAAAAAGAAAAGAAGGAUGUAAUCCAAGUGCUACAAAAGUUCAGAGAAUGCAGAACAUUUUUUGCUUAGAUGAUUGAGAACAGUUUCCCUGGGUGGGUUGACAUUUGAGCUUAGCUGUAAAGGUAGAUAGAAUUUCAAUAGAUAAGAGGUAUGUCUUUUGAAGGACAAAACAAGCUUACCUCGAACAGAUGAGCAAAGGUCUUGAGAUCAGGUACAAUCCAUUCGGCAUUGUAGGAAAAAAUAGAAGAUAGAGCUGGAAAGGAGAGCUAAUGUUAACUCCAUGAGUGCAGGGCCUGUGCUCCUAGAAUUAUGCUGUUUAAUACAGCAACCAUGAGAUACAUGUGACAUCUAAAAUGUGGCUAGGGAGACUAAGGGACUGAACUUUUAAUUUAACUUAAAAUUAAAUUUUAAAACUGCUACUUGAUUCAGUUAUUGAAAAAUUUCAAGUAUGUUUGAACUACUUAGAUAUGUAGAUCUUUUUCAACUGUGCAUGUUAUGAAGUCUAAAUACAAAUUAGUAAUUUUCGGCUGGGCGCAGUGGCUCAUGCCUGUAACCCCAGCACUUUGGGAGGCCGAGGCAGGUGGAUCACCUGAGAUCAGGAGUUCGAGACCAGCCUGGCCAACAUGGUGAAACCACCUCUCUACUAAAAAUACAAAAUUAGCCGGGUGUGGUGGCUCACUCCUGUAGUCCCAGCUACUUGGGAAGCUGAGGCAGGAUAAUCACUUGAACCUGGGAGGCGGAAGCUGCAGUGAGCUGAGAUCACACCACUGCACUGCAGCCUGGGCAAGACAAAGCCAGAGUCCAUCUCAAAAUAAAUAAAUAAAUAAGUAAUUUUCAAUGAAAAUUUACAAUCUGAUUGAGAUGUGCUGCUAAGUAUAAAAUAUACAUUGAAUUCUUAAUAUUUAUUUUAAAAGAAUAUAAAUAGCUCCUUGACAAAUUUUCAUAUUGAUUACAUUUUGAUCUUUUAUAUAUUUUGUAUAUGUUGGAUUAAAUAUAAUGCAUUAUUUAAAUUAACUUUACCCAUUUAUUUUAACUUUUCAAUAUGACUUCUAAAAAAUUUUAAAUUACAUAUGUGACUUGAAUUAAAUUUCUUUUAGACAGAGAUAUUCUAGCCUAUUCCUGGCACACAGUGGGCACUCCAUAAAAUACUUUUUAACCAACUGCCGUGGAAACCAGAUUGUAACCUCAAAGUCAGGCUGAGGAUCUUGUAUUUUAGUCAAUAGAUAAGAGAGCCACUAAAACUUCUCAGUAAGGAAAGUGAUAUGCUCAGAGUACUAUUUUAGAAGGUUCUAUCAGGAAGACUAAUACAGAGGAGAAAUUGAAGUUAGAUUAGAAGUAUAUUGAAAUAUUAAAACAGGGCCUAAACACAUACCUCUUCUCCACAAAUUCUUCCAAAGCAGCUCAGCCUGGUAGCAUAACAUUGUGUAAAUGUUCCAUGUUUCGCAUGAGAACGCCAAACACUCUUACAUGUGAAAGGCAAUUCCUUUUUAAGUCAAGUCUUACCCCUCUAUGCACCUAAUUUUAUCACUGUUGCUUUUAAAGAAAAUGAAUCAAUGCAGUUAAUCUCUGUAUAGUGUCAUGUGGGAUGAAACUCCCUUUAUUACAGCAAUGGUCUGAUUACAGCAUCAUAGCAUAAUUUUGAAAUAUGCACAAAUGGAACUACAGGUAUGAAAAAGCCUCAAUAUUACUCUCAACAGAGCAAACAGAGUUUUCUUGUUUAAUACAUGUCUGAUUGUGCUAUUUCCUGUUGAAAACGUUAAUGCUAUACCAUGGCUUAAAGGAUCAAUUCCAGACUCAGCAACCCUUCCCCAACUAAUCCUAUUCUACCUCAACUUUCUGUAAUGCCCUUCUAUAAACAGUGACUCAUUCAGGUCUUUUUCAGUAGCAAGUGACAUAAAUCCAACCCAAGCUAGUCAAAGAACCUGUUGGUCCCACAAAAGGUAAAUAAAUGUCAAUACAUAGAAAGACACUGAAUAGAUUAGUGGAUGAAUGGCUAUCCUGAUACUGUUGAUCACUAGAUGCUGGCCUCAUUUACUCCUGGUGCAGAAAAAUCUGUUCCCUGUGGCAGAAUAACUGUCUGUCAGCAACCCUAUCUCAUUUUCUUCCAACUCCUUGACCAAAAAUGCAGAACACCUCUUCCUCCACUCCAAAAAAGAAAAAUGCUACCACAUGGAGAGUGUGCACCAUGUUCCAAGCACGAUUCCACCUACUUUUCAUGUAAGUGAUCUGAUCCUCACAACAACCCAAUUAUCAUCCCCAUUUUAGAGAUGGGGAAACUGAAGCCUAGAGAGGUGAAGUAACUUGCCCAAAAUCACCAAAUUGAGACAUGGCAGGGCUGGAGUGUGAAGUCAAAUAGGCAGACUCUGACAUCCAAGCACCUCUACAGAAUCACUGUGGCCAGGGGAAAAAGAAUUUUGAUUGGCUAUUCCUGAGUCAUUGGUUCCCCCAUGGAGGAGCGAAGGAGUGCUGCAACUGACAGCCCCACCAGAACACAGGACAUGAUUGAAGUAGGAGAGAGAGGUAGGCAGAUCAAAACAACAGGGUCUGGAGGGAGUCUAUAGUCCAACUAUAGUCAAAAGAACAAGUCAGCCUUUUUAAAAUUUACCAUGCACGGAUUUUCCUCUAACAUCUAUCACUCUUUCCACUCCCACUUCCCAACUCUCUUCCUGGAGAAUUGCUAUUUAUUAGUCUACGAGGCCAACCUCCAGCAACAAACAACCCUGUUAGCAAAGUUUCUCAAGUUCUCAUGGGCAGAAUAAAUCACUACCUACUGUGUGCUCCUUUCAUGUCCUAGGCACCCCAGCAUCGGUAGUGCAGACACAAGUUCCGCGUGGCAAUCUUGUCAUUUUGAGAUAACCAGGUGGGAAGGGCUCCCUGGCAGAGCCUCCAACCAACCUGUGCACUGGGAGGAACGCACACUGGGGUGGAGCCACAGAAUUCUCACCAUUUGCAGCAGGGAGGACUUGCCCUUCCUCUUCCUGGGUGGAACCUGGAAUUCAAUUGGCCAGGAGGGAAGCCCAAGGGCAAGAAGCACACGCUGUCGCUUUGCUAAGAGUCUCUGUUUCCCCCUUUUUUUCCCUUUUGCCCAAGAAAUCCCAUUUUUCUCACUCUUCAAAUAGUCUGCGAGCCUAAAUUUUCAUGGCGGUGUGAUAAAGACCCCGUCUUCAGCUGAACUAAAUAAGGAAGCAGUUCCGCAACAAGUUCUACUUCUGUAAUGGCAAGACUCCGUCAAGCAGAAGAAAAGAAAAAUAAACCUCCAACACCUUUUUCCUCCAGUUAUUCAUAAUUAUUUCUUCGGAACACCUCAGGAUCUUGAGAUUAACACUGUCCAACUCCACUCAUGGGUUUCCUUUGAUACCAGGCAUUGGUGAUGGCUUCCCUCUACUCUACUCUUGCCUAUCUGUUUUCUUUAUUCAUCUGUUAAUUUUUCAGUGUAGAAUCCUGGCAUGAGGGACGCCCAUGGCAGGAGUCACUGGGAAUGUCCCCAUUUGGGGGUUCAUUUUAUUGGUUUACAUUUAUUUGUUUUGAUGUCUGUCUCUCCCAUGAGUCUUGGAACUACUUAACGAUUGGCUUCAUUCUUUAAUUUCGAUAUGGACUCACUUACAAAUGGACCACCUGACUACUGUCAUCACAAGUUCCCCGGGGAAGAGAACCUAAUUAGAAGAGACAAGCUCUCUAGAGGAGAUUGUCUCUCUGUCCAGUGAGUGUUGGUCAUUUGUGUUAUGGAAAUAGUGCACAAUGAGGGUCAUGACAAUAGUCUACACCAAGGAAUGGUAAAUUUUUCUCUGUAAAGGGGCUGAUAUGGACCCGGUGGGAGGUAAUUGAAUCAUUGGGGCAUGUCUUUGCUGUGCUGUUCUCAUGAUAGUGAAUAAGGCUCACGAAACAUGAUGGUUUUAAAAAGAGGAGUUUCCUUGAACAAGCUCUCUUUGCCUGUUACCAUCCAUAUAAGAUGUGACUGGUUUCUCCUUGCCUUCUGCCAUGAUUGUGAGGCUUCUCCAGCUACAUGGAACUGUGAGUCCUCCAUUUAACCUCUUUCCUUUGUAAAUUGCCAAUUUGUAAAUUGUGCGAAUAAAUCUUUAUUUACAAAAAUAGGGAUGGGGCAGGAUUGGUUCCUCAUGCUGUCAUUUGCUGACCCCUAGUCUACAACUACACUAUGAGCAGAAAAGACUAUUUAACAAAGGGGUGGGGCAAGUUGGAGGGGGUAAUCAUCUCCAGUAUUCUCACCAAGCACUGAAUAUUGGAAGCAGAGGCCUUUCAUGUAUGGGGAAACCUAAAGCAUGACUGCAAGUGAUAAAGCAUUCACAUCAUGUUCAGAGAACAGUUCUCAUUCUAUCAACAGAAUUUCACCCUCAGGAACAUGCCUGCCUUCCCUCAGGAUAAGUAGGGAAGGGAGAGCUCAGAAAAAAGAGGACAGUUCAGCCAACUGAGUUGGAAUAGAGAGAUUCAUAACAUUGUAGGGAGGGCAGGUUUUCAGAAAUAUAUGCCUAAUGAUCUCAUAUCUAGUUAUAGCCCUGCUGGGAAUUGUACAUUGUAGGGAACACGGUAGAGCAAUGCACAAGGUGAAGUUGGAAACAAGGCAGUAGGCAAUUUUAAAGUCCCAUUUUGAGCUAGGAAGAAAAAGGGGAUAUAAAUAUUGCAUGAAGUAGUGUCUUAAAAUCCUAUUCUAUCCAUUUCAGCAAACUAGAUACUCAGUGUUUAAUAGCACCUGAAGCCAGCUAUAAUAAGGAUGAAGGAAAGAUAUGUGCACCAGUGGAGUAGCCACCUCAACAGCACCGAUAAUACCAAGAGCUAAAAGGUCGUGUUUGUUUAAUGCUUUCCAUAAGCAACUGGUCUGACCAAAAGAAUUCUGCAGGAAUGAUUAAGCUUUCUUUAGCGCUUAUUGUAGCCUAGAUAUGGUCAGCAAGACCGAGCUCUGCAAUCAGUAGAACGGGACAAUCACAGAUAGGUUUCAGUGACCUCUCUUGGCAGCAAUUUUCCUCUCUGCCCUCACUGGCUUCAAUAGAUUCCCUGGUUUGCAGUUAUUACCUUGGCAGGACUGUUCUGCCCCUCUCUGUCAUGUAAGAUAGCCUGGGAUAAAAAGGGAGAUGGCAACAACUGAAGCAGGUGGAUACUAGAGGGGUUAUUAAAAUACUGAGUACUUGAUAUUUUAAAAUAAAAAAUUAAAAGCAAAUGGUUUCCAAAUACCUGCCAACCUUGGAGAUAUUGGGGAUUUGUUUCGAGACUAAUGCAAUAAAGCAAAUAUCAAAAUAAAGCAAGUCACAUUAAUUUUUAGUUUUUCAGUGCAUAUAAUAGUUAUGUUUCUCUAUAUAGUAUAUAUAUAUAUAAUGAAUAUACAAUAGUCUUUUAAGUAUGCAACGGUAUUAUGUAUAAAAAACAAUGUCCAUACCUUAAUUAAAAACACUUUAUUGCUAAAAUAUGCUAACAAUCAUCUGAGCCUUCAGCAAGGCAUAAUCUUUUUGCUAGCAAAUGGUCUUGCUCGAUGUUGACAGCUGCUGACUGAUCAGGGUGGUGGUUGCUGAAGGCUGGGGUGAUUGUGACAAUUUCUUAAGAUAAAACAACAAUGAAAUUUGCUACAUUGACUGACUCUUCCUAUCAUGAAAGAUUUCUCUGCAGCAUACAGGGCUAUUUGACAGCGUUUUAUGCACAGCAGAACUUUUGCAACUGGAUUCAAUCUUCUCAAAACGUGUUGCUGCUUUAUCAAGUGAGUUUAUGAACUAUUAUAAAUCCUUUGCUGUCAUUUCAACAAUAUUCACAGCAUCCUUACUAGGAAUAGAUUUAUUCUGAAGAAACCACUUUCUUUUCUCAUCCAUAAGAAACAACUCCCCCCAUUCAUUCAAGUUUGAUCAUGACAUUACAACAACCCAGUCACAUCUUUGGGCUCCACUUCUAAUUCUAAUUCUCUUGCUAUUUUCAUCACAUUGGCACUUACUUUCUUCUCUGAAGUCUUGAACCCCCUAACGUCAUCCAUCAGGGUUGGAAUCAACUUCUUCCAAACUCCAAUUAAUAUUGAUAUUUUGACCUCCUCUCAUGAAUCAAAAAUAUCCUAAUAGCAUCUAGAAUGGUGAAUCCUUUCCAGAUGGUUUUUAAUUUACUUUGCUUAAAUCCAUCAGAGGAAUUACUAUCUAUGGCUGCUAUAGUGUUAACAAAGGUAUUUCUUGAAUAAUAAGACUUGAAAGACAAAAUUACUCCUUAAUCCAUGGGCUACAGAGUGAAUGUGCUGUUAGCAGGCAUGAAAACAAGAGUAAUCUUCUGUGCAUCACAAUCAGAGCUUUUGAGUGACUAGGUGCAUUGUCAAUGAGCAGUAAUAUUUUGAAAAGAAUCUUUUUUCUGAGUAGUGUAUCUCAACUGGGGACUUAAAAUAUUCAGUACACCACACUAUGAAGAGAUGUGCUCUCGCCAAGAUUUGUUCCAUUUAUAGAGCAAAGGUGGAGUAGAUUUAGCAUAAUUCUUCAAAGCUCUAGGAUUUUAGGAAUGGUAAAUGAACACUGGCUUUUAAAGUCACUAGUUGUGUUAGCCCCUCACAAGAAAGUCAGCCUGUCCCUUUGAUGCUUUGAAGCUGGUCAUUACUUUCUCCUCUCUAAGCUAUGAAAGUCCUACAUGGCAUCUUCUUGCAAUAGAAGGCUGCUCCAAACUUUUCUUCUGCAACUUCCUCACCUCUCUCAGUCUUCGUGGAACUGAGGUGAGUUAAGGCCUUGCUCUGCACUAGGCUUUGGCUUAAUGAAAUGUUGUGGCUGGUUUGAUGUUCUGUCCAGACCACUAAAAACAUUUUUCAUAUCAGCAAUAAGCCUGUUUCACUUCCUUAUUUAUGUGUUCACUGGAGUAACACUUUUAACUUCCUUCAAGAACUCUUCCUUUGCAUUCACAAUUUUGCUAACUAAUUGGUGCAAUAGGCCUAGCUUUUAGCCUAUCUCAGCUUUGUUUUUUUUUUUUUUUUUUUUUUCUUUUCUUCCAGCCUGUGUUGCCCAGGCUGGAGUGCUGUGCAGCCUCAAAUUUCUGGGCUCAAGCAAUCCCCCCACCUCACUCUCCAGAGUAGCUGGGACUAUAGGCACACACCACCACACCCAGCUAAAUUUUUUAUUUUUUAACAAAGACUGAGUCUCACUACUUUGCUCAGGCUGGUCUCAAACUCCUGGUCUCAAGCA
rnacentral:lncRNA from 10 species